rnacentral:rRNA from 1 species
AUGGAACGCUGGCGGCAUGCCUUACACAUGCAAGUCGAACGGUAACAGGUCUUCGGAUGCUGACGAGUGGCGAACGGGUGAGUAAUACAUCGGAACGUGCCUAGUAGUGGGGGAUAACUACUCGAAAGAGUGGCUAAUACCGCAUGAGAUCUACGGAUGAAAGCAGGGGAUCGCAAGACCUUGUGCUACUAGAGCGGCCGAUGGCAGAUUAGGUAGUUGGUGGGAUAAAAGCUUACCAAGCCGACGAUCUGUAGCUGGUCUGAGAGGACGAUCAGCCACACUGGGACUGAGAAACGGCCCAGACUCCUACGGGAGGCAGCAGUGGGGAAUUUUGGACAAUGGGCGCAAGCCUGAUCCAGCAAUGCCGCGUGCAGGAUGAAGGCCUUCGGGUUGUAAACUGCUUUUGUACGGAACGAAAAGCCCCGGGUUAAUACCCUGGGGUCAUGACGGUACCGUAAGAAUAAGCACCGGCUAACUACGUGCCAGCCGCCGCACGUAA